UAGGUCACAAUGGCACUGAAAAAAGGGCCAUCGCUUUUGCGCAGCAGUAAGUAAAUGUUGACAAUGUAUGAAUAGUAUGAUCUUGAUACGAUAGAAUAUGCUACAAUAGACCUUUAUUUGUCUAUUGUUUUAAAAGCGCCGGCAAAUUCCGUGCCAGCAACCGCGGUAAGACGGGAGGCGCAAGUCUAUUAUGCAAGGAAUAGGCGA
rnacentral:rRNA from 1 species